rnacentral:rRNA from 1 species
UACGGAGGGGGCAAGCGUUACUCGGAAUUAUUGGGCGUAAAGGGCGCGUAGGCGGUUUGCUAAGUCAGUUGUGAAAGCCCGGGGCUCAACCCCGGAGGGUCGGCUGAUACUGGUGGACUAGAGUACGGAAGAGGUAGCUGGAAUUCCCAGUGUAGCGGUGAAAUGCGUAGAUAUUGGGAAGAACACCAGAGGCGAAGGCGGGUUGCUGGGCCGACACUGACGCUGAGGCGCGAAAGCCAGGGGAGCAAACGGG